UUUGUCAUAAAAUCAGCAGAUAAAGGAGGGGGAGUUGUUGUUUUAAAAAGAGACAACUACGUUCAAGAAGCAGAGAGAAUUCUUUUAGACACUAAAACCUAUUAAAAAAUACCUACGAACACAAGUGUGAAUAUACAAAAAAAGUUUGAAACAUACGUAGAAAAGGGUUUGAUUUAGGAAUUUUGAAAGAGGAGGAAAGGAAGUAUUUAUUAAUCCCACAUCCAAAAACACCUGUUUUCUACUAUCUGCCAAAAAUACACAAAAAUAGAAGCAAUCCCCCGGGAAGACCUAUUUGUGACGGACUGCUGGCACUCUGACCGACUACCUCAGCCAAUCGAUGCUCCUAGUGCUUGCUGAGGACUCCAAGCACUCCACCAGACACCAUAAGUACUGCAGACCCCACGAACCGCCGCAGCUUGGUUGGGGUCUCGCCGCCCUUCACCCACGGUCAGUAUCGAGCUUCCAGUGGGCAGGCCUCUUUUCCUCCAGAGAGUGUAGCAGGAACAAGCUCUUCUUAAAGAGCUUAGUAGUGAUUAUCCAAAGGAAUAUACAGAGCAUAACAAUCCCUUGUAGUGUUAUAGCAAUUCCCCCAAUAAGGGCCAAGACUCUAGAUUGAGGGUUAAGCAGGAACAGAAUUCACUGAGGCUUUAUUGCUUCUUUUAUACACAUUUUCCAAUAAGGUUAACACCCACGUGGACCUUGUUGGGCACUGAAAGCACAAACGUAACAACCAAUCAUAUACAGACACACAGUUAAACACUCCCAUUCAUUACAGCAAAAUACUCCCCUCUGCCUGUGAUAUAAUUACUGAACACAAUGGGCUAACGUAAUUAUCACAGGCAGGAAAAUAUACUGUUUUUACAUCAUUUCUAUAACUCUAACAUUAUACAUCUCAUUCGCAUAAAACUUACAUUUUCUGAAUCAGCACAAUUAGGGAACAAACAUCUCCAAAAAUCAUUUGAAUCCGUUCAGGAGUUAGCUGGAAGUCUCCUUUGACUGACCGCACGCACAUUUUCAUGCCCAAAACAGUUCCACAGAUUUGGCCUGUGCGGUCGGUCUAUAACAGGUGCCGUUCGUCCAAAUGGCAAUGUUAAUGUGGCGUUCGAAUAAUAUUACACUAUAUAUAUAUAUUAGUAAUUCUCUAUAUAAUGCCAAU